UACGUAGGGGGCAAGCGUUGUCCGGAAUCAUUGGGCGUAAAGCGCGUGUAGGCGGUUCGGUAAGUCUGCUGUGAAAGUCCAGGGCUCAACCCUGGGAUGCCGGUGGAUACUGUCGGACUAGAGUACGGAAGAGGCGAGUGGAAUUCCCGGUGUAGCGGUGAAAUGCGCAGAUAUCGGGAGGAACACCAAUUGCGAAGGCAGCUCGCUGGGACGUCACUGACGCUGAGACGCGAAAGCGU
rnacentral:rRNA from 1 species